rnacentral:rRNA from 1 species
UACGAAGGGGGCUAGCGUUGUUCGGAAUCACUGGGCGCAAAGGGCGCGUAGGCGGCUUUAUAAGUCGGGGGUGAAAGCCUGUGGCUCAACCACAGAAUUGCCUUCGAUACUGUAUGGCUUGAGACCGGAAGAGGUUAGUGGAACUGCGAGUGUAGAGGUGAAAUUCGUAGAUAUUCGCAAGAACACCAGUGGCGAAGGCGGCUGACUGGUCCGGUUCUGACGCUGAGGCGCGAAAGCGUGGGGAGCAAACAGG